rnacentral:rRNA from 1 species
UCAGGACGAACGCUGGCGGCGUGCCUAACACAUGCAAGUCGAGCGGGGACAUACGACGGAUAGGAAGUUUCGGAUGGAAUUGAAGAUGUAUGUUCUAGCGGCGGACGGGUGAGUAACGCGUGAGCAACCUGUCCCUUACAGGGGGAUAACACAGCGAAAGCUGUACUAAUACCGCAUAAGACCACGGGGAGACAUCUUCCAGGGGUCAAAGGAGCAAUCCGGUAAGGGGUGGGCUCGCGUCCGAUUAGAUAGUUGGUGAGGUAACGGCCCACCAAGUCGACGAUCGGUAGCCGACCUGAGAGGGUGAUCGGCCACAUUGGGACUGAGACACGGCCCAAACUCCUACGGGAGGCAGCAGUGGGGAAUAUUGGGCAAUGGGGGAAACCCUGACCCAGCAACGCCGCGUGAGGGAAGAAGGUUUUCGGAUCGUAAACCUCUGUCCUUGGUGAAGAGGAAGAGACGGUAGCCAAGGAGGAAGCCCCGGCUAACUACGUGCCAGCCGCGGC